UGCCGUUAUAGUUUGGUCCUUUUUAUGCAGUAGAUUGUAGAAAAAUGAUCAAAAACAGCUUCAAGCAAGCACAUGAGUUUGAGAAGAGACGCGCUGAAUCUCACUCUGCCAUUCGCCCCUCCGUCCUCUCAUGAUCUCUCACACCCUCUCUCUAAUUUCAGAACAAUAUUAAGCAGCUUAAGCUCUCUUUGCAUUGAAUCAAUGGCAGUCAUCUAGAGGCACUCAAAUUAGUGUUUUGGAGUGCAUCUUGACCAGACCACCACAAAAGAGAAAAUGGAAACCAAAAUCAGAGCCAUCAAAACAAACAAAUGCUGCUGAAGCCAAGUCUGGAUAGAGAGAAAGAUCUCAUGGCAGGAAUCAUGGACUUGAUGAAGGUGAGGUUAACAAAGUGUGCUUUAGCACCAAGAUUGGAAUCUGGGUGUUCUGAGUUUUGUUUUGUUGUGAUUUUCUAUAAUCUAGAUGCUGAAAUACUUGGAGUUGGAAUUAAUAAGAAUUGAUUGAA